rnacentral:rRNA from 1 species
CGGGUGAGUAAUGUAUGGGGAUCUGCCUGAUGGCGGGGGAGUAACUACUGGAAACGGUAGCUAAUACCGCAUAAUGUCUGCGGACCAAAAGGGGGGACCGUCCGGGCCUCGCGCCAUCAGAUGAACCCAUAUGGGAUUAGCUUGUAGGUAAGGUAACGGCUUACCUAGGCGACGAUCCCUAGCUGGUCUGAGAGGAUGAUCAGCCACACUGGGACUGAGACACGGCCCAG